rnacentral:rRNA from 1 species
AAGCGCGNANAGGUUGCUUGCACCUUUCAGCGAGUGGCGAACGGGUGAGUAACACGUGGAUAACCUGCCUCAAGGCUGGGGAUAACAUUUGGAAACAGAUGCUAAUACCGAAUAAAACUUAGUAUCGCAUGAUAUAAAGUUAAAAGGCGCUACGGCGUCACCUAGAGAUGGAUCCGCGGUGCAUUAGUUAGUUGGUGGGGUAAAGGCUUACCAAGACAAUGAUGCAUAGCCGAGUUGAGAGACUGAUCGGCCACAUUGGGACUGAGACACGGCCCAAACUCCUACGGGAGGCUGCAGUAGGGAAUCUUCCACAAUGGGCGCAAGCCUGAUGGAGCAACGCCGCGUGUGUGAUGAAGGCUUUCGGGUCGUAAAGCACUGUUGUAUGGGAAGAAAUGCUAAAAUAGGGAAUGAUUUUAGUUUGACGGUACCAUACCAGAAAGGGACGGCUAAAUACGUGCCAGCAGCCGCGGUAAUACGUAUGUCCCGAGCGUUAUCCGGAUUUAUUGGGCGUAAAGCGAGCGCAGACGGUUGAUUAAGUCUGAUGUGAAAGCCCGGAGCUCAACUCCGGAAUGGCAUUGGAAACUGGUUAACUUGAGUGUUGUAGAGGUAAGUGGAACUCCAUGUGUAGCGGUGAAAUGGCGUAGUAUNA